rnacentral:rRNA from 1 species
CCUACGGGUGGCAGCAGUGAGGAAUAUUGGUCAAUGGGCGCGAGCCUGAACCAGCCAAGUCGCGUGAGGGAUGACGGUCCUACGGAUUGUAAACCUCUUUUGCCGGGGAGCAAGCGUGCGUUCGUGAACGCGCGUCGAGAGUACCCGGAGAAAAAGCAUCGGCUAACUCCGUGCCAGCAGCCGCGGUAAUACGGAGGAUGCGAGUGUUAUACGGAUUUAUUGGGUUUAAAGGGUGCGUAGGCGGGAUGCCAAGUCAGCGGUAAAAAUGCGGUGCUCAACGCCGUCGAGCCGUUGAAACGGGCGUUCUUGAGUGGGCGAGAAGUAUGCGGAAUUCGUGGUGUAGCGGUGAAAUGCUUAGAUAUCACGAAGAACUCCGAUUGCGAAGGCAGCUCACUGGACUGCAACUGACACUGAUGCUCGAAAGUGUGGGUAUCAAACAGGAUUAGAUACCCGUGUAGUC